rnacentral:rRNA from 1 species
UUGACGGGGCCCGCACAAGCGGAGGAGCAUGUGGUUUAAUUCGAUGAUACGCGAGGAACCUUACCUGGGCUCGAACGUAAGAUGACUGUAGGUGAAAGCUUACAUCUCUUCGGAGCAUUUUACGAGGUGCUGCAUGGUUGUCGUCAGCUCGUGCCGUGAGGUGUCGGGUUAAGUCCCAUAACGAGCGCAACCCCUACCUUUAGUUGCCAUCAGGUUAAGCUGGGGACUCUAAAGGAACUGCCUACGCAAGUAGUGAGGAAGGCGGGGAUGACGUCAAAUCAGCACGGCCCUUACGUCCAGGGCUACACACGUGCUACAAUGGCCGAUACAGAGGGCAGCUACCUGGUGACAGGAUGCAAAUCUCCAAAGUCGGUCUCAGUUCGGAUCGGAGUCUGCAACCCGACUCCGUGAAGUUAGAUUCGCUAGUAAUCGCGCAUCAGCCAUGGCGCGGUGAAUACGUUCCCGGGCCUU